rnacentral:rRNA from 1 species
CCUACGGGAGCCACCAUGGGGAAUUUUUCGCCAUGGACGAAAGUCCUGCGGCACAACUCCGCCUGAGUGGAGGCAGGCUUCCGGUUGUUAAACUCUUUUAAUCGGGACGAAAGGCCUUCUUGCGAACACUUAGAAGGAAUGACGGUACCGGAAGAGUAAGCCACGGCUAACUACGUGCCAGCAGCCGCGGUAAU